AACGAACGCUGGCGGCAGGCUUAACACAUGCAAGUCGAGCGCCCCGCAAGGGGAGCGGCAGACGGGUGGGUAACGCGUGGGAAUCUACCCAUCUCUACGGAAUAACGCAUGGAAACGUGUGCUAAUACCGUAUACGUCCUUCGGGAGAAAGAUUUAUCGGAGAGGGAUGAGCCCGCGUUGGAUUAGCUAGUUGGUGGGGUAAAGGCCUACCAAGGCGACGAUCCAUAGCUGGUCUGAGAGGAUGAUCAGCCACACUGGGACUGAGACACGGCCCAGACUCCUACGGGAGGCAGCAGUGGGGAAUAUUGGACAAUGGGCGCAAGCCUGAUCCAGCCAUGCCGCGUGAGUGAUGAAGGCUCUAGGGUUGUAAAGCUCUUUCACCGGUGAAGAUAAUGACGGUAACCGGAGAAGAAGCCCCGGCUAACUUCGUGCCAGCAGCCGUCGUAAGAC
rnacentral:rRNA from 1 species